rnacentral:rRNA from 1 species
CUCCAGACUCCUACGGGAGGCAGCAGUGGGGAAUAUUGGGCAAUGGGCGCAAGCCUGACCCAGCAACGCCGCGUGAAGGAAGAAGGCUUUCGGAUUGUAAACUUCUUUUAAGAGGGAAGAGCAGAGGACGGUACCUCUUGAAUAAGCCACGGCUAACUACGUGCCAGCAGCCGCGGUAAUACGUAGGUGGCAAGCGUUAUCCGGAUUUACUGGGUGUAAAGGGCGAGUAGGCGGGAUUGCAAGUCAGAUGUGAAAACUAUGGGCUCAACCGAUAGAGUGCAUUUGAAACUGCAGUUCUUGAGUGAUGGAGAGGCAGGCGGAAUUCCCGGUGUAGCGGUGGAAUGCGUAGAUAUCGGGAGGAACACCAGUGGCGAAGGCGGCCUGCUGGACCGUGACUGACGUUGAGGCUCGAGAGCGUGGGGAGCAAACAGGAUUAGAUACCCCGGUAC